UCGCAUUCUUAAACCCUCUUGGUGGCUUCACUUUAAGUGCUGCUAAGAUAUGAGUGAAUGCUAUAGAAACUGCAGGGGGGUCCAAAGGGCUGUGCUUCUCCUGUGGCUCAGGCUUAUUUCUUACCUGCAACAUCU
ensembl:snoRNA